rnacentral:rRNA from 1 species
UGAACGCUAGCUACAGGCUUAACACAUGCAAGUCGAGGGGAAACGAUAGAGAAAGCUUGCUUUUUCUAGGCGUCGACCGGCGCACGGGUGAGUAACGCGUAUCCAACCUGCCCACCACUUGGGGAUAACCUUGCGAAAGUAAGACUAAUACCCAAUGAUAUCUCUAGAAGACAUCUGAAGGAGAUUAAAGAUUUAUCGGUGAUGGAUGGGGAUGCGUCUGAUUAGCUUGUUGGCGGGGUAACGGCCCACCAAGGCGACGAUCAGUAGGGGUUCUGAGAGGAAGGUCCCCCACAUUGGAACUGAGACACGGUCCAAACUCCUACGGGAGGCAGCAGUGAGGAAUAUUGGUCAAUGGGCGAGAGCCUGAACCAGCCAAGUAGCGUGCAGGAUGACGGCCCUAUGGGUUGUAAACUGCUUUUAUAAGGGAAUAAAGUGAGCCUCGUGAGGCUUUUUGCAUGUACCUUAUGAAUAAGGACCGGCUAAUUCCGUGCCAGCAGCCGCGGUAAUACGGAAGGUCCGGGCGUUAUCCGGAUUUAUUGGGUUUAAAGGGAGCGUAGGCCGGAGAUUAAGCGUGUUGUGAAAUGUAGAUGCUCAACGUCUGCACUGCAGCGCGAACUGGUUUCCUUGAGUACGCACAAAGUGGGCGGAAUUCGUGGUGUAGCGGUGAAAUGCUUAGAUAUCACGAAGAACUCCGAUUGCGAAGGCAGCUCACUGGAGCGCAACUGACGCUGAAGCUCGAAAGUGCGGGUAUCGAACAGGAUUAGAUACCCUGGUAGUCCGCACGGUAAACGAUGGAUGCCCGCUGUUGGUCUGAAUAGGUCAGCGGCCAAGCGAAAGCAUUAAGCAUCCCACCUGGGGAGUACGCCGGCAACGGUGAAACUCAAAGGAAUUGACGG